UCCAUAGAAUAACAUGGGCUGUGUAUUAGAAGCCCUGGCAGCUUUGGUCAGGGGGAAGUUUGGCGCCACUGCCGUCCCUUUGCUCAGCGACACAAAGACCCGGGAAAUUGGGCCCCUCACUGAUUGGCCCCCCAGGUUGCAGGGCAAAAUUAUCCCUAGGCGGGCUGUUGCUGGGGUGGAGGAGCCAGUAGUGAGUGAGGACGGGGGAGGUCCGAGAACGCAGACCCCUUAAAUGAAGGAGCUGAGCGUGGGAGUUAGAGUUCGGCCAUCUGGAGAAGAGGGAGAGUUUGGCUGGAGCCUGGUGACCAGCCCUGCAGGGUGAAGAAGGAGCUGCUGCCCGGGAAGAAGAGAGACAGAGAACCGCUUACCUGGACCGGGAUGGAGAUCUAUUCUGGAGCCGACGGGGAAGGAUCGCGGGGAGAGAGAGAGACCUCCGGUGCCUGCCCAGGACCCCUGUUGGAGGAAGCUGCCCGCAUCACUGCCGGAUGAUAGGGGAGAGGAGUGUCACGUCAGGAGCCGCGCGGGAGGACGGGAGCCGUUACAAGCGCCAGGAGACCGGACCCAGGAGAAGGUGCCGCGGAACAUCAAGGACGGAAGAGGAGGCAGUGCGCACAGUGGCGUGCGGUGAGGUCAUUGGCUGGUGUUCCUGAUGCCAUAGAUUUUGCAAAUGUCUGGAUUCAACAAUAUGGCUAAUGCAGGAAAUGGAAAGAAGAAGGCAAAAUGAGGGAGACGGAGAGAUGAAUAAACAGGAAGCAGCCACUGAUGUGGAAGGAAUGUGUUACAGGCAGCACGUCUGAAAGGGAGAGGGUUUCCGUAAUUAGACUUUCAUAAUACUGCACUUACGUGAUAUUAGUAAACCAGACACAUAAAGUGUAGAGCACCGGCCCAAAUCCAACUACUGGUUGUGCCAAAACUCCAGCCCCCACAACACCUCUGCCUCCGUCCUCCCCGUGGUGUCUGGGAGUUCUGGGUCCAACACAGAUACUGCUUGGCAAGAGCAGAUGAGGACGUCACUAGGCAUGUGAACAGCUAAAUGCAGCUUAAUAUUGGCAAACAAUUAAAAAGCAAUUUAUACAGGGCUACAAUCUCUUCUAGCUUGAAUACGGUACUUUGAAACAUGAGAGAACACUAGGCUCAGAACAGCAAAUGGAAAAACAGUGGUGACUGAAAACACUCAACAGAAAGAUUUUCAUUUACAGUACAGAUGGAGCCUCAUUUAUCUUGGCUUCUCUGCUGCGCCUAGGCACACCAGGACUUAUUAUCAUAAACCCUUCAUCUAUUGUUUUCAGCUGCAAUACAAUACAGAGAGAACAAUACAUCAGGGGAAUAAGUCAUUACAGCAGGGGAUUAAGUCCGACUGCCCUGGCUCAAUUAAUCCUAUUAAAGGACAAAAUAAAGACGGCUCCAUCUGUAUAAGACUGUGCUCGAAGAUUUUCUUAUACACUUGUAUUCAAAAUUUGCAGAUGUAAAAAUAUAUUUUCUCUACUAUUCUCUAUCCGAUUGGUACAAGCCAUCUCUG